rnacentral:rRNA from 1 species
GGGUUGUGAGGUUAAGCGACUAAGCGUACACGGUGGAUGCCCUGGCAGUCAGAGGCGAUGAAGGACGUGCUAAUCUGCGAUAAGCGUCGGUAAGGUGAUAUGAACCGUUAUAACCGGCGAUUUCCGAAUGGGGAAACCCAGUGUGUUUCGACACACUAUCAUUAACUGAAUCCAUAGGUUAAUGAGGCGAACCGGGGGAACUGAAACAUCUAAGUACCCCGAGGAAAAGAAAUCAACCGAGAUUCCCCCAGUAGCGGCGAGCGAACGGGGAGGAGCCCAGAGCCUGAAUCAGUGUGUGUGUUAGUGGAAGCGUCUGGAAAGGCGCGCGAUACAGGGUGACAGCCCCGUACACAAAAAUGCACAUGCUGUGAGCUCGAUGAGUAGGGCGGGACACGUGGUAUCCUGUCUGAAUAUGGGGGGACCAUCCUCCAAGGCUAAAUACUCCUGACUGACCGAUAGUGAACCAGUACCGUGAGGGAAAGGCGAAAAGAACCCCGGCGAGGGGAGUGAAAAAGAACCUGAAACCGUGUACGUACAAGCAGUGGGAGCAUGCUUAGGCGUGUGACUGCGUACCUUUUGUAUAAUGGGUCAGCGACUUAUAUUCUGUAGCAAGGUUAACCGAAUAGGGGAGCCGAAGGGAAACCGAGUCUUAACUGGGCGUUAAGUUGCAGGGUAUAGACCCGAAACCCGGUGAUCUAGCCAUGGGCAGGUUGAAGGUUGGGUAACACUAACUGGAGGACCGAACCGACUAAUGUUGAAAAAUUAGCGGAUGACUUGUGGCUGGGGGUGAAAGGCCAAUCAAACCGGGAGAUAGCUGGUUCUCCCCGAAAGCUAUUUAGGUAGCGCCUCGUGAACUCAUCUCCGGGGGUAGAGCACUGUUUCGGCAAGGGGGUCAUCCCGACUUACCAACCCGAUGCAAACUGCGAAUACCGGAGAAUGUUAUCACGGGAGACACACGGCGGGUGCUAACGUCCGUCGUGAAGAGGGAAACAACCCAGACCGCCAGCUAAGGUCCCAAAGUCAUGGUUAAGUGGGAAACGAUGUGGGAAGGCCCAGACAGCCAGGAUGUUGGCUUAGAAGCAGCCAUCAUUUAAAGAAAGCGUAAUAGCUCACUGGUCGAGUCGGCCUGCGCGGAAGAUGUAACGGGGCUAAACCAUGCACCGAAGCUGCGGCAGCGACGCUUAUGCGUUGUUGGGUAGGGGAGCGUUCUGUAAGCCUGCGAAGGUGUGCUGUGAGG